rnacentral:rRNA from 1 species
AUACGGAGGGUGCAAGCGUUGUCCGGAUUUAUUGGGUUUAAAGGGUGUGUAGGCGGUGUAUUAAGUCAGUGGUGAAAGCCUGCGGCUCAACCGUAGAACUGCCAUUGAUACUGACACACUUGAGUAUGGACGAGGUAGGCGGAAUUUAUGGUGUAGCGGUGAAAUGCAUAGAUACCAUAAAGAACACCGAUAGCGAAGGCAGCUUACUAGGCCAUAUCUGACGCUGAGGCACGAAAGCGUGGGGAGCGAACAGGAUUAGAAACCCGGGUAGUCC